GACGCUGGCGGCGUGCUUAACACAUGCAAGUCGAACGAUGAAACCUAGCUUGCUAGGUGGAUUAGUGGCGCACGGGUGAGUAAUAUAUAGGUAAUGUGCCUCUUAGUCUGGGAUAGCCAUUGGAAACGAUGAUUAAUACUGGAUACUCCUUCUAACUCUAAUGUUAGUCGGGAAAGUUUUUCGCUAAGAGAUCAGCCUAUAUCCCAUCAGUUAGUUGGUAAGGUAACGGCUUACCAAGGCAAUGACGGGUAGCGGGUUUGAGAGGAUGAUCCGCCACACUGGUACUGAGACACGGACCAGACUCCUACGGGAGGCAGCAGUGAGGAAUAUUGCACAAUGGGGGAAACCCUGAUGCAGCAACGCCGCGUGGAGGAUGACGCAUUUCGGUGUGUAAACUCCUUUUAUAUGUCAAGAAAAUGACGGUAGCAUAUGAAUAAGCACCGGCUAACUCCGUGCCAGCAGCCGCGGUAAUACGGAGGGUGCAAGCGUUACUCGGAAUCACUGGGCGUAAAGGACGCGUAGGCGGAUUGGAAAGUCAGAUGUGAAAUCCUACAGCUUAACUGUAGAACUGCAUUUGAAACUUCUAAUCUAGAGUAUGGGAGGGGGAGAUGGAAUUAGUGGUGUAGGGGUAAAAUCCGUAGAUAUCACUAGGAAUACCGAAAGCGAAGGCGAUCUCCUGGAACAUUACUGACGCUAAGGCGUGAAAGCGUGGGGAGCAAACAGGAUUAGAUACCCUGGUAGUCCACGCCCUAAACGAUGAACACUAGUCGUCGGGAUGCUUGUCAUCUCGGUGAUGCACUUAACAGAUUAAGUGUUCCGCCUGGGGAGUACGGU
rnacentral:rRNA from 1 species